rnacentral:rRNA from 1 species
AACGGGUGGAACCACGAAGGUCGAACGAGGGGAUUCAGCUCGUAGGUCUUCGGUGGUGGGUGGCGUUUCAUAUGAAUUACACUGAGGGGACCCGGCGUGAAUUGCAAUAGCCGUGGCCACGCCCUCGCCUCUGGAGCGCCUGCGGGCUUACUUCUCCCUCUAGUAGGUCGCCGCGACCCGUUGCUUCUCGGACCCCCAGGGCCGUGCUGGACUGGUAGCCAGGAUCUCACGAUCCUGGUGAUGACUGGCUGCGGUUCCGACGGGCCCGGGCGACGGUCACUGCCAGGAGGCCGCCGCAAGGCGGUCUCUCGCGGCGUGCAAGGGAUCGGUAAUCCACCCGACCCGUCUUGAAACACGGACCAAGGAGUCCAACAUGUGCGCGAGUCUAAGGGUGAACUAAACCCGGAGGCGAAAUGAAAGUGAGCCAACUGUGCAGGCCGAUCCCCGGUCGGGCUUUCCGGCGGGCGGCCGUGGCGACGUGAGUUAUUUUCCGAUGCCGCGGUCCGCUUGCCGGGGGACUGACUGAGAAGCACCUCGUGUGCCGGGGCGCAGGCCGAGGACUUGUCGCUCAGCGGCCCCGGGGACGGGGCGUCAGGCGUUUACGCGCUUGGCGUUCUUACUCGGGUGCCCGCGGGCAAGUACCUAAGAGCGCAUACGUUGGGACCCGAAAGAUGGUGAACUAUGCCCGGCGAGGAUGAAGCCAGAGGAAACUCUGGUGGAGGUUCGAAGCAGUUCUGACGUGCAAAUCGAUUGUCAGAGCUGGGUAUAGGGGCGAAAGACUAAUCGAACCAUCUAGUAGCUGGUUCCCUCCGAAGUUUCCCUCAGGAUAGCUGGCAUUCAGAAGGAUGAGUUUCAUCCGGUAAAGCGAAUGAUUAGAGGCCUUGGGGGUGCAAUGCCCUCAACCUAUUCUCAAACUUUAAAUGGGUGAGAUGUAGAACUUGCUUGAUUACAUGAAGCUCUAUGAAACAGAAUCAGAGUGC